CCUACAAUGCUUAAGAAAUCAGAAAAAUCAAUUGUUCUUCUCUUAUAUCAAGACCAAUCCUUAAUGCAUCGUGAAAGACUGGAACACCUGGGUGGCAUAGGCAAGCAUCAUCGGAAUUGAUCUCAGGAUCGAAGCGCUGACCGCAGCCCCGGUUGUAGCACAGCAAAGCCAUUUUCUUUUCCCACCGUCACAGGCAAGGCCCAAACACCGGGAACGGCAAGAGGGUGCAUUUGCCACUCCCGUGUCGCUAGCACCGGCCUUGACAGUGGACUAUUACAAGGAUUUCUGUGGGCCCGCUCUGAGCCGCCGUUUCUGGCCGUGCAGACGGACUUCUACCACACGGUGGCGCUGCGGCUCUGCCAUAGAAGGCUCCUCUCGGUCCAGGAGCCAGGCAGGGCCGGCCACAGGACCAGCCUCCGACAGCGAUUUCAUCCGCACCCUGCGGGGCAACGUGGGGCCUAUCCGUAGCUUUCAGCCUUUCCUGGACCCUACCAGGACAAGAAUCGCGGGGAGAGGUGCGAAGAAGGUCUGGAGAGGAGGAGGCUUGGGACAAUGCACAGUCCUGGAAGUGAGGCUGACCGCUGACCGCUGUCAGGAGGGACAUGGACCGCUGACGGGGAAUCAUGGGAUUUCCCACCGGCCCAGUCAUCUCCCACGUCGGGAAAAGGGAAGAGCUGCUUCCCCAUGGCGUGUGCGCGUGGGAAGGGUCUCGGGCAGAGAAGAGGCACUUUUUCUGUCCUCCAGGCUGUUUCCGCCAAAUGAAGACCUGGGCUGGAAGAGCCAGGAACAAAGAGGAGAGUCGGGUGCUGAGCACCCAGCGGGAGAGGAUGCAGCCCGGUCAUCGCACACCUGCUGACCACACAACAUCGUCUGCGAGUUCCCCCCACAUACUCCGCCUGCAGCUGCCAUUUGGGAAGAUGACUCUUGCCUCUUUCACUGUCGGUUUUUUAGAUUAGGACUCACGGGCCUAGGGCAGGACUCAGCUCUUCCAGAUCUUUAUCGAAAAGUAACAUCACACUUGUGCCCAGGGGUUCGAGACCAGCCUGGGCAACAGGACAAACCCCCUUCUCUACAAAAAAACCCCACAAAAUCUGUGUGGAAGGUGUGUGAACCCUUGGGAAACAGAGUUGCUGUACACGUGUAUCAGGCCCUGAGCCAGCUGCAGGGUGGGCAUUACUGCCUGGUGCCCUCCGCCCUCACUCUUCCUCCCUGGAUGUUGGGGAUGGCCCCGUAAACCUUGUUCAUAGGGGUCCCUCGUUUUCUGGGACACCUCAUCUGAGCACUGACGAGGGGACACAACUCUUGGCUGGGAAGCAGGAGACUGAGCAUUGCCUUCAAGCCAUCCCCACACAUGUGACCUCAGUCAGCAUUCUGCCCUUUUGUGGGUGUCAGUUGUCUCGUCCAUAAAAUGGGAUGAUGUUCUUGUUCCAGCCGGCAUACUGGAUGACUAAAUGAGGGAACAGAGAUGCAUGCCUCAGGCCAAUGAAGAUGAAGAUCAUGUACCCAUCAAGGCAAAAGAGAAAAGCACUGCACUCCAACCCGGGCAACAGAAUUAUUAUUAUUAUUUUUUAAGAGAUAGGAUAUCAUUCUAUUGCUCAGGCUGGAGUACAGUGGUGCGAUCAUAGCUCACUGUAAUCUUGAACACGUGGACUCAAGUGCUCCUCCUACCUCAGCCUCUAGGUAGCUGGGACUACGGGUGUGUGCCACCACACCUGGCUAAUUUUUCUAUUUUUUUUUCAAUAGAUGGGGUCUUGCUGUGCUGCCCAGGCUGGUCUUGAACUCCUGAGCUCAAGCAAUCCCCUUGCCUCAGCUUCCCAAAGUAUGGGGAUUACAGGCGUGAGCCAUCGUGCCUGGCCCAAAAUUUUUCAAAUAUCAUCCUUUUAAGCUUCAAAUGUUACCAACAUUGGCGAAUGCAACCAGAGGAGACAUAACACAUAAAACACGGGGGGUUUAUCCACAAGGAGAAUUCACUAUCUUGCUGGUGUUAGGAUCUGUCCUUCCAGGGAGGAUACGCCAUGAGUCAGAAGUAGAUGCCACUCAGCAAAAAGAAAAAAGAAAAAAGAAAAAAAAAAAUCACACCCCUAUGUAAAGAUGGCGUGGCCCAGUUGGAACCCCUGCAGAGCUCAAGGACUCUCAAAAGGAGGCUCUUAGCCUGGGGCCAAGGCAAGACCAAUUCAUAGGAUGAAAGGAAGGCUGUGAUUGGUGGGCUCUUGUCCAGGCUCCUCAUUUGUCCUUUCCUACUGGAGGAAAUGUGACAUGGGCAAUUCAAGCCAAUAGGGAACCUGGGGAAGGGGCUGGUGGUGGGUUUCAUUCACUGCUUUCCCUCACGUGACUCCCUCAGGAAGGGGGUCUUACUGGGCAGGGCUGAGGCAGAUGGCCACACUUACAGGUACUCACUGGCACAUGUGGCUGGAUGUGGGGGUGGGGUGGGGUAAAUAACCAUAGCUACUUCAUGUAGUUGUUGCAAGGAUGAAAUUACUUAAUCCUUUCUUUUUGAGACGAAGUCAGGCUCUGUCACCCAGGCUGGAGUGCAGUGGCACGAUCUCAGCUCACUGCAACCUCCGCCUCCCUGGUUCAAGCAAUUCUCCUGCCUUAGCUUCCCAAGUAGCGAGGAUUAUAGAUGCCUGCCACCAUGCCCAGCUAAUUUUUGUAUUUUUAGUAGAGACAGGGUUUCGCCGUGUUGGCCAGGCUGGUCUCGAACUCCUGACCUCAAGUGAUCCGUCUGAGAGACAGGACUAGCUGGAUUUUCUAGGCCAACUAAGACUCCCUAAGCCUAGCUGGGAAGGUGACCGCGUCCACUUUUAAACGCGGGGCUUGCAACUUAGCUCACACUGACCAAUCAGGUAGUAAAGAGAACUCACUAAAAAGCUAAUUAGGCAAAAACAAGAGGUAAAGAAAUAGCCAAUCAUCUGUUGCCUGAGAGCACAGCAGGAGGGACAACGAUCGGGAUGUAAACCCAGGCAUGCGAGCCGUCAACAUCUACCCUCUUUGGGUCCCCUCCCUUUGUAUGGGAGCUCUGUUUUCACUCUAUUAAAUCUUGCAACAGCA